CCUUAAAAUAUUUAAAAAUUCUAUAUGCUUCACUUCUCUUUUUAUCCCUUUCUUAUUUGUGCCCCUUUCUCUUAGCUAUCCUUGUGAUCUUUCAGCUAUUUCACUUUAAUAUAAAUAUGAAGAAUAGUUUGUUUUGAUCUAUUCUGCAUUUCAAUGACUUAACAGAUAUCUAUUAUUAACAGUUAUGCUCAUUUAGUUUUCUACAAAAAAUU
rnacentral:lncRNA from 1 species